GUCACAGACGCAGCGUGAACAAGUGCAAGGACUGUUGGUAUCUCUGAAUUCACGUUAUUAAGUACCUGAAACCGCGAGUAGCCGUGACGCUGCUGCCUGGACUGCAUGCGUACAUCCUUUUCAUGUGCAUCCGACACACCGACCACAUCGACGACGACGAGAAGGUGAAGUCGCUGCUAAACCACACGAGGC